rnacentral:rRNA from 1 species
GACGAACGCUGGCGGCGUGCUUAACACAUGCAAGUCGAACGGAAAGGCCCUGCUUUUGUGGGGUGCUCAUGUGGCGAACGGGUGAGUAACACGUGUGUAACCUGCCCUUGACUUUGGGAUAACUUCAGUAAACUCGAGCUAUUACCGGAUAGGAGCUCCUGCUGCAUGGUGGGGGUUGGAAAGUUUCGGCGUUUGGGGAUGGACUCGCGGCUUAUCAGCUUGUUGGUGGGGAAGUGGCUUACCAAGGCAUUGACGGGUAGCCGGCCUGAGAGGGUGACCGGCCACAGUGGGACUGGGGUACGGCCCAGAGUCCUACGGGAGGCAGCAGUGGGGAAUAGUGCACAAUGGGCGGAAGCCUGAUGCAGCGACUCCGGGUGCGGGAUGACUGCCUUCGGGUUGUAAACCGUUUUCGCCUGUGACGAAGCGUGAGUGACGGUAAUGGGUAAAGAAGCACCGGCUAACUACGUG